rnacentral:rRNA from 1 species
GGGUUGUGAGGUUAAGCGACUAAGCGUACACGGUGGAUGCCCUGGCAGUCAGAGGCGAUGAAGGGCGUGCUAAUCUGCGAUAAGCGCCGGUAAGGUGAUAUGAACCGUUAUAACCGGCGAUACCCGAAUGGGGAAACCCAGUGUGAUUCGUCACACUAUCAUUAACUGAAUCCAUAGGUUAAUGAGGCGAACCGGGGGAACUGAAACAUCUAAGUACCCCGAGGAAAAGAAAUCAACCGAGAUUCCCCCAGUAGCGGCGAGCGAACGGGGAGGAGCCCAGAGCCUGAAUCAGCAUGUGUGUUAGUGGAAGCGUCUGGAAAGGCGCGCGAUACAGGGUGACAGCCCCGUACACAAAAGCGCAUGUGCUGUGAGCUCGAUGAGUAGGGCGGGACACGUGGUAUCCUGUCUGAAUAUGGGGGGACCAUCCUCCAAGGCUAAAUACUCCUGACUGACCGAUAGUGAACCAGUACCGUGAGGGAAAGGCGAAAAGAACCCCGGCGAGGGGAGUGAAAAAGAACCUGAAACCGUGUACGUACAAGCAGUGGGAGCCCCACCACCAAAGCAUUCUCUGGUGUUGAAGGCCCUGCAAAGCAGCAUCGCGGUGGCGGAGCGUCGUUUGCGACGCCCAACACACAAAACAAGCGGUGAAUGCUUUGGGGUGGGGUGACUGCGUACCUUUUGUAUAAUGGGUCAGCGACUUAUAUUCUGUAGCAAGGUUAACCGAAUAGGGGAGCCGGAGGGAAACCGAGUCUUAAUUGGGCGUUAAGUUGCAGGGUAUAGACCCGAAACCCGGUGAUCUAGCCAUGGGCAGGUUGAAGGUUGGGUAACACUAACUGGAGGACCGAACCGACUAAUGUUGAAAAAUUAGCGGAUGACCUGUGGCUGGGGGUGAAAGGCCAAUCAAACCGGGAGAUAGCUGGUUCUCCCCGAAAGCUAUUUAGGUAGCGCCUCGUGAAUUCAUCUCCGGGGGUAGAGCACUGUUUCGGCUAGGGGGCCAUCCCGGCUUACCAACCCGAUGCAAACUGCGAAUACCGGAGAAUGUUAUCACGGGAGACACACGGCGGGUGCUAACGUCCGUCGUGAAGAGGGAAACAACCCAGACCGCCAGCUAAGGUCCCAAAGUCAUGGUUAAGUGGGAAACGAUGUGGGAAGGCCCAGACAGCCAGGAUGUUGGCUUAGAAGCAGCCAUCAUUUAAAGAAAGCGUAAUAGCUCACUGGUCGAGUCGGCCUGCGCGGAAGAUGUAACGGGGCUAAACCAUGCACCGAAGCUGCGGCAGCGAACGUAUCACUUAAAGCGAUUCAGCGGGUUACGAUUGACGGAGCGAAGCGACGUCAAAGCGUAUACAAAGUCGAGUCGGUUUA